UCGUGAAUACAGCGAGCCUACCAACGCGCACGCGCCGCCGCCAGCUUUCCCUCCGUCUGCCCCCGGCAGCGGUAGGAGGAAAGUGCGCAUGCGCGUAGCAAAGGCCGCCGUAAGAGGCAGGAUGGAGCUGCGCAGGCGCCUCGCAAACCCGGGGGGGCGCGGAUGCGUAUUGUCGGUGCACCUGUAAAGCAUCCCGGAAAAAGAAGCUGUUUGCUUUAGCGUCUUAGGACUUCAAUCGCUGACUCCACUAAAAUGUCAUCAACAUGGGAAGGAUCUUCCAGUAAUGGAAUCAUUGGAUACUGUCUACUUAAAUCACUGAGUCUAUUUGAAAGACUUAAAAACAAAUUCUGAAACUAAGUCUUUAGAGUAAAGAAAGGAAAUACCUGUAUCAGACAUUUACUGACAUCACUAGCGCAGAGAGCCUU